UUGCAAUAGGCGGUGAAGGACAGAAAACAAUUAUCAGAAAUAAAACCCGUGUUUAAUAAUAUUCUAUGAACCAGGAAAAAGAACCAAAUCACAUGCAACUUUUGGAGGUAACCUUAAUUUACCGCAACAUUCAUGGUCACUAUUAUAUUGAUGGAAAGCAAUAAAUCAUUAGAAUAAAAAAGUCCUGAAACUAUUGUAAUGAGAAUAACUGUUUUAUUUCUCCUGCUUUCCCCCUAAUGAAUAUUGUCCUUACCCCAGGUUUCUCAUACUCAGACCAUAAUCUAAUCAUGACUAAUUCUUCAACUCUCAAUAAUUACUGGCACCAAAUAGUUCCCAAAAAAGGAUUUUCUAAUACUGUAGAGAGAACCUUAUGAAAUUGAAUUAUGGUAUUAUACAAAACUCCAAAUGGACUUCUGAUGGAAAGAGAUAAUUUGGAGGUAUAUAGAACUCCACAGGUCAUUGAAGGAAAACGAGAUGUAGGUUAUUGAAGCAGCUAUCAGCUAAGCUACUCAUUUUUGAACUCACCCUGCCUUGGUUAUCAACACUAGUUGCAACCAGAGGGAGCUCUGCCACUUCCUGUCCGAACACUCGAAGGAUUCCAGCCGAAACAACAUGUGAACUGCAUAUCAAAGAGACAGUUAUAAAUAACCUCCUGGUGAAACAAUGACCAGAUUAGGCAUAUAUAAUUUCAGAUUCUUACUUGACUGUUAUGACUGCACAAUACAAUCCACUGAAAUCCUGACCCCUUACAUUCCUUCUGAGAAAGUGAGACAUUUACAAAUUCACUUGUAACAAAAUGACAAAUGAUGGCAAAAUAUAUACCAGAAAAAAACUUAACCACACAUUAAUAAAUCGGGAAAGAUAUUGUGCUUACCCAUAAACCAUGGCUGGAAUAAGGUCACGUCCAGUCACUGAAUCUAUUAUUGGGUCAAAGCGAUCCUAACACAAAAUUAGCAGAAAUUUAGUUUAAUUCAAUGAUGGAAGUUGCUUUUAUGUAUCCACCAAGUAUUGAAGAAUGUCCUUUUAAAAACCACUAGUGAAAUGAAAUAUUAUGAAGACAUAAAUAAGCGUCACUUCACAUUUGCCAAACAUUUACUUCAAAAUGUAGGCCCAGGCAGUUUGUUUCUACCUGCAUGAAUGCCGAUACCAUAAAAAAUGGAGGCCUAUAGCACCAAUUGGGUGAGUGGUAGCACACAAUUUUUCAGGCAAGAUAAAUUUAAUACAAAGGUACCAAAUAAGUUAUACAACGUCAUUUUGGCCCACAAAGUAUAUCAAAAGAAAAACAACCCAAAAGACUAGCAAAAUUAGUCAUUAUCAUUGAAAUCAUUAGCUUUUUUGCCCAAUUCACUAAAGCUGAGAGGGUUUUAAACUAAAAUCACAUCAAUUGUGGAACCACUAUCAUUUCCAAAUAAAUAAAUUGAAACUGAAGAACUGUAUAUCUAGAUCCAGCAACCAAGAAUAAUAAAAAUUCCUGCUUACAGUAGUUAACGGAAGUGUGAUUGCCAUGGACUAUGCUACAGGCAAAAAAGCAACCAUUAAAUAAAUGAUUAUCUAGAUACAUCAAGAACGGUACUUACAUGGAAGAUAGCAACGGCCUCAGAGAGCAACACCCUAGUUUCAGGAGAAGCAAGUUUGCCACUAAGGAGCCUCCAUCUUACAUUAUAAUCAGCAAUGCUUUCUAAACCUUUCCUCUCAUGCUUCUCCUUUAUAACAUUCAGCAGAGAGUCUGGAAGCUUCUCCUCUCCACGAACAUGCAGCUUCUGCAAAGCGGAAUGGAUCCUUAUGCAUUCCAAGCAACAAAACCAUUUCCCACUGGGUAAUUCCUGCCAUGCAAGUUUAUCACAAUUUUAUCCAAAUAAAAAAAGAAUUGCAUCUAGACUUGGAAAGGAGGGAUUCUUCACGCAAAGCAAUCUACACAUAAAAUAAGAUAAAGAUCAUUUGCGUGCACACCUUUAAAUCUUGCAUCUUAUGGUCCCUCAAACAGCCAAUAUGAAACUCCUUUUCACACUGGAAUAAAUUGGAAGAGAAAAAGGUACUAGUUAAGAAUAAGCAACACUAUUCAUAAAUCCACUUCCAAAGCGCUUUAGAGCUCAAUAUACAUAUAUAGAUACACAGAUACAUUUUUUUUUAUAGGCAACCAGAAAUAUAUAUAUAUAUAUACAUGCAUGGUAAUAUACAUACAUAGUAAAGGGUGGUACCAUGCAUGUAUAUAUAUAUAUAUAUAUAUAUAUAUAUAGAGAGAGAGAGAGAGAGAGAGAGAGAGAGAGAGAUAGUACCUGGUCACACAGUAUAAUCGUGCGUGGACCAAAUCCUGACUUACUGAAGUCAUAACCUCUGCAUAUUAACAAACUUCAGAAAAACUUAAAUCCAAGAAAAACCCGAAGGAAUUGGAAUAAAUGAAGACAAAAAUUUAAUGGCAGCAAAAAACAGUAAUAUAACAAUCACUAUAAAGCAUAACAAAGAUGAUGACAAAAGCCACAAGCUCAAAUAAGUUUUUCUAAACAACCAGCACCUGCAUAACACGCAUGCACUAACUUCAGCUUCUGGGUUAACAAUACGAAUGCAUCGCUUGGUUAUUUGUUCUAUGGGAUCCACUCCUGAAACCCUGCCAGCUGCUACAGCAUUGGCGUUAUGCUCCACAAACUUUUCUCGUUGGAACAUGUUCUGGCAAUAUCGACAGUACCAGUCAUCUUGGGGAAUGCUUGGUAGAGAUGCACAUACUGCAUUUUCCAAGAAAAAUGCAUAUUAAAAUUAACUCUGGUAGAUCACAAUUGUAGAACCAAUAAUGAGAGCUAGCUAAAAGUAUUCAUAGAUAAUGAAGAUAUAGGAAACCUAUACUCUAGGAUCCAAUGUAGGAUAUCACAUAACUCAAUUGAAGUUAAUUUUUGUAAGGAAAACAAUGGAGAAUAGACGAUAAUGCUUGUGAAUGUGUGUUAUUAUAGGGAGAAACUUCAUUAGAUACGACAAAUCAUAGAUCCACACAUGACAGACAUGUGAGAGAUUAGGCAAAAGAGAAAGGAACUUUAGUUUUUAGGCAGACAGAAUAUCAAAACUCUUCUGUUUGAAUGAUUGCAUGUGAAAUAAACAAUAUGAGGACCAUAUGUAAAACAGAUUGGAACUUAGAAAAAUAGAAGAAAAGAAUAAAGACAGGGCACGACCCACAUAAAAAUAACCAAGCGGAACCUAGGAGGCGAGGUUUGCCAGUCUGGUAUAAAACUGAUCUUUUGGACAGCUCAGCAGCUCAUUUGCUAGGGAAAGCAUAAUUCUUAAGCCAGUUAUUUUUUAGGUCAAAUUUGAGAAUACAAAAUUUCAGGUUCAUUUUUCCCUACCCUAGUUGUUUUGGGUGGGGUGGGGGGUGGAGGCUUUUUCUCGUUUGAUUGUCUUUAUUUCAUUUAUUAUCCUUUUUGUAACUAUGCCUUUUUUUUUCUUUUUUUUAUAGGCUUUUUUUUGUAACUGUGCUUAUCUCAUCCCAAUAUUGAAAAAAAUAUUCUAUAAUCUAUUCAUAAGUCAGUUAUGUGAGAAGAGCAUCAUUUGAAGCUCUCAAAUCACAAAAUGGGUAAAAGAGAUGCAUUUCUAUAUGCAAAUGAGGCCAAGCCAAUUGAAUUAGGCCUUUUAGAAAAAAUUAGGCCACCUAGGAUAUUUCAUAGUCCAAAUAAUAGCAUCCGAUUAUAAUAUGUGAGUUGUUGCACAUUUAUCAAAGGUUUAAGGCAUAUUAAAGAUGCAAAGAUCUCUUGGAGUUCUAGAAUGAGGUGCAGGACAGAAAGUGUGCCAAAGCAUCAUUUAAGUGCAAACCAGAGUACCACUGCAGUCAUAUAGAAGUUGCAAAUGUGUACCCAUAAAUAAUUAAUAUUGCAAUAGAUUAAUACACUAAUGCAAUGAUCUAGAACUUAAACAUACUAAUAUUUGUUAUAUAUCAUUAAUAAUAAAUAUUCAAACUCAAGCACAAAACAUUAACGUACCAUAGAGGAUUAAUCAUUUACAUAUUUAUUCUUUACAUUACACAAUUGCACUUUACAUUUUAUUUUUUAAAAUCAAAACAUUAUUACCAAAAAGGGCCAAAUAUGUGAAAAUCAAAAGAGGCAGAAUAGGCUUUGGAAACAGCAUAAACAAAAAACAGUUUUGGACAAAAUGAAACAGAAGAACAGGUAUCCAGAAUUCCAGCAGCAAGGUUUCAUUUUGCAUGCAAGGCAAUUAAUUAAGAAGGUCCCAUUAUAGAUAAUCCAGUGAGCAGUUUAAGAGAAUAAAAAAAAUUGCAUUAACUAAUGUUAGAGAAUGGCAAAAAUUUAUACAGGAAUGGCUGAUCAACUUGCCAAAUAGAACCCACAGAUAGUGGUGGAUUGAAGUGGGGGUGAGAGGGGGGCAUGGCUGCUUGCCAACCCCCUGCCCCUCCCUUGGAUUUUAAGUCUGGUUUUGCCUGUGCCCAUGGCAAUGGCCAAACAGGUGCUGAAUAGGGGAGGAAGAGGAGGAAGAGGGCAAGGGGAAAAGGAGAGUGUGAUAAGAAAAAAAUUGGGGUUUCUUUCUUUUGAAGAGAGUUGAGAAUGAGUUAGGAGGAACACACUUCUCUAUGUGGGUUUCUUAUAAAUAAGAUACAGCAAUCAUGCUAUGAGACAAUGAAACACCUUAGUAAAAUUUAAAACUGAAUGAUGCUUUUUUCAAAAAGACCAAAACAAAACACUGGAUCAGGCAUGCCUAUCAUGUGCCUUGGACCUCACACAAAGGCCUGCACUUUGUACUGUACAUGGCAACUUUCCUGAUGCAACAGGAGGUGCCUUCCCUGCCACCACUGCACCUUGCAUCUAGGCAUGCUUUUGACAACACUAUUUUGGGGACGCCUAGGUUGGCAAACGUCCACAGUCCAACACGCACUAUAAUUGACUAGAAUCAGAAAGUCCUACACUUAAAAAAGAAUGACAAAAGGAAAGAAAGAAUAAACAGAGAAAGAGAGAAAAGGGAGGGAAGGAAGAGUAGAAGAAUAAUCAAAAUGGACAUAUAUAAUAUCUUACAAAAACAAGGUAUGUUCCAGGGGACGUCAAAUCCAGAAAAAAAAAAAGGUAACUAGUCCUUUUACUUCUACUUAUAAACAGUAAAAAAGAAGAGAAAAAGGCGUUUAUACUGUAUUCUUCUAGUGUUAGGGAGUCAAUUCACACCUCACAUAUUAAUGCAACAACGUCACAAAUAGUUCCAUUUCUCUCUCUUCUGAAGCAAGCAGCUGCUUAGCAUUCAAGUUAAGUACAAAGGCUCCACUGAUGGGUCUAUCAAACCAGUGAAAAACAUGCAAGUAAAUACAACUGAUAUCUCAAAUAUAAUAGGAAUCCGAGUCUCACCUCUGUGAAAGGCCCUAGGGCAUCCAUCACAAAGCAAAAGAUUGCCACCAUCUCCACAAAUACUGCAGAGGUCGUCAUUAUCCCUAGCAGAAUAUUUACGGCCUUUUGAUAGAGAAAUUGCCAAUUCAUGUAGUGACACUCCAUUUGAUGUGUAAAUGUAUGAAUAGCUAUGAAAAAAAAAGGAUAAUGUUAAGAAAUUACAAAAGACUAACAAACCAAGUUAGAGAACUGUAAAAUCCUUCAACAGAACUCACGGUUUUUUACGUGAGGCCCAACCUGCAUGAGCUUCAAACUGUGAGGCACUGACCUGCUUGUUAAAUGCAAAAAUAUCAAGAUAUAUGUAAACAAUAUAAGCAGCAGUUCUAGCAGUAAAAGAUGUACCUCACAGUGGCAGCACCAACAAAAUAUUCCAAAGCCUUUUUUAUAACCAUCCAGCAAUUUCUGUAAAGAAGAAGCAAUUACUUCAGAUCAUAAAAAUAGUUUAAACAAAUAUAGCAAUUCUUCUUUUUAUCUCAACAACCUUUCCGCCUGCAUAGUAGGCAACUUCAGUUCCAUCAGGUAACCCGCCUUCCUCAAAAACUAAUCUGUGCAACCUCUGAUCUCUUGAGAAAGAAGUCAUCCAAUGACAAAUAAAAGUUAGGCUAAAAGCAAAAACUUAGAGAACUUAAGCAAGAAAUCUAUUAUACUAAAUAAUACAGAUAGAUACCAACUUUUUUGUUAUCUUCCCCAGACUCUUAUUUUCUGAGGAGUUGUACAAUGCACUUCCAGAGGACUUUGUAACUGGAAUUGGUUUCAACAACCUGAAAAAUAACCCAGAUGGAAGCAUAUAACAAAAGGAAAAGAACAUUGGUGUACAAAUUCUAUUGAAGAUGGUGGUUUGUAACUUUGUGUUAACCAUAUCAUAAAUAAUAAUUAAAUUUAAAUUGAUCAAGAUAGGCUAAGUUUGACUAUAUUUGAAAAGUAUCAUAUAGUUGUUAAGCCUUCUUUAGGAAAAAGCUCCACAAUAUAUUUAAAAACUAUUCAAGAUACAGAGAAAGGGAACAUGACACAUGAUGCAAUCGAAAAGUUGACAUAUAUGCAUGCAAGCAACACAUAUUAGAUUUAACAGGUAAACGGUUUUAAAAACAUUUAAGAAUGCAAUGAAUCAAAAUUUUAAGCUUAAAAACUGGUGUUGUUCAAUCAAGUGAUAUAACUUGAGCAAUAAACUACAAUAUAUUGGUUGACCAAAAUUUUCAAUAAAAAAACUACUAAUCUAGUUUACUUGGAGAAUGACUGCAAACCACACUGCAUAAAUCCAAUACCCAAGCCACAGUCUCCCUCCAUUCAAGUUUUACAGCUACUGGAAUUCAUCUUUCCCCGCACUUACUUCCUCCAGUAGAGUUUUUGUUUCAAGUGUAAUUCACCAUUCAUCUUCCAUUCCAUUCAUUUCUCCUUUAUUCUUUCUUCAAGAAAUUUAAGCCAAGGUUUUUAUGGAAAAAAGGUAAAUUGUGGUCAAUGUCCCAAAAAGGUAAAAUUGUGGUCAAUGUCCCAAAAAGGUAAAAAGAUAACUCCUUAAUGAAAUAAUAAAAAUUUGAGAAAUAAAUGAUUCAAAAAGUUCAGGGCCCAAGAAAGGGAAGCCUUGAUCAACUUCUUUCUUUCAAGUAAGAUUCACCACCCAUCUUCAUUCAUUUCUCCUUUAUUCUUUCUUCAAGAUAUUUAAGCCAAGGUUUUAAUGGGAAAAAGGUAAAUUGUGGUCAGCGCCCCAAAAAGUAAUAAGAUAACUCUUUGAUGAAAUAAUAUAAAUUUGAGAAAUAAAUGAUUCUCAAAAAGUUCAGGGCCCAUGAAAGGGAAGCCUUGAUCAACUUCACUUUCCCACAAUGAGCCAUAUAUAUAUAUAUAUAUAUAUAUAUAUAUGAGAUAGUAUUAAAAAGCAUAAAGUGCACAAGAGUACAUCAUUUUCUAGUCAACAAAUUUUCCCACAAGAGUAUAUAUAUAUAGACCUAUAGCUUUCUACUAUGUACCUAAGCAAACAAUUUUAAGCAAAAUCAAAGAAGAUCAUCACCCAUUCUUAACAAACACCAGAAAUUUCAAAGCAUAAAUAAGAAUGAAAGAUAAGAAGCAAAAAUUUGAAACAAGAAAGUCUUAAACAGUUACCUAGCUCUUUCACUGGUCCUAUGAAUUGAAGUAGCUGGUGAGUUGUUUCUCUUAAUGCAUGAAUUGCCUAGUGGAUCCAUUUUUGCAGCUUCAUCUGCAGGUAAAGAUCCUGAGAAUCAUUGAACACCAAGAACCGUCAAGAAAAAUAAUUACAAAAUCAUCCAACUCACUCCUCCACAGCUUAACAGCCUAAUUGACCUGAAUUUAGUGAGAAAACUCACGUUUUACUGGAAAUGAACCAAUGGCACUUUGAAUAGUUGCUUCCAAUGUUUCCAAAGGAGCAUCCUUGCAUACAUGCAACACAUCAUGAAGGUUUUUACCAUUGUCAAGGUAAAUGUACUUUGCUGCAUGUCUGUAUGAUUUGCAAGCAUGGAGCUCGAAUUGGGAAGGCAAAACAACCUACAUUUAUAUAAGGAAAAUAAUAAAUAAAGUCAUUCACUCAAGUCACUGAACUACUCUGCAUGCUGACUAUGGAGUAAUGAAACUACUCACUCUGCUUCCCUUGCACAAAGAACAUGAGCACAAGAUCCCAUUGCCUUUGAUAGUUCCCUGAAGCCUAUAGCCCUACAAUUCAAACAUCACGAUUUAGCCCCAAGCAUGAAAACAAAUUGUUAUUUUCAUGUAAAGCAGCUGAUAAAGAAAUAAAACAAAUUAACAUAGUUAAAUAAACACCAUUAGGUAUGAAUCUACCUUCUUUCUACCAUCGUAAGUUACAGGGUAUCCCUCCAGCAUGCCAGUCUCGAGAAGAUCCCUUAUUGUCAAGGGAACCUUGUUCAAGGCAAUCUUUUUUGACAUUUUCAGUCCUAACUUCUUUGGACUUGUUAAUGAUCUUACCGCACCAUUUGUCUUCUCGUCAACUCCUAUGGCAACAGAAUUGCAAAAAUUAUAGUCUGAUUCCAAACUCUCCACAGUGUCCUCCUUCGAUUUUAAUGCUGAUCUUGUAAACCGCUUUGGAAGUUUCUCCUCCAUCGCAAUAUCUAUCUCCUUGCUCUCAUCGAUCAGUCCUGCAGUUUGCAACUUCAGACUACCAUCAUUUGAUUCGUCCUUGAUUGAAGCUUUCUGGGAUUGGCUCUUCGGCUCCUCUUCACAAAUGGGCCCCACCAAAUAGCCGCCCGUAGGUUUCUCCACGACAACAGGGUCAUUCUCAUCAGUUUUCUGCUCCUCAUCGGUAGUGCUUUCAUCAUCUUUUGGCUCCUCCGCAAUGGUUCUUCUCUCAUCAUUCUUGGACUCUUCCAAACGCUUCAGUCUCUUAUUUCUCGAAUACUGGAUGACCCCAUCCCAUCGAUUCUUGGUCUCGCGAAUCCGAUCACUAGAAUCAUUCCCCUCCAACUCAUCAUUCAAGGUCUUCAGCUUCUUAUUACUCUCAUUCCAAGCAACCCCAUUGCAGUUAAUAGUUUCAUUCUGAGUCUGAGCCUUCGUCGACCGAGUCCGACCGAUUAAACCGCAUUGGGAAUGAACCUCCAAUGCAAAAGCUAACUCGCGUUUCAUACCUUUCCAGAACCCAGAGACAACAAAACUGCGAUAUCCAAAACGGCGCAGAACAGAAACACUAAUCGGGCCACAGAUUUUCGAUUAGACAAACCCAAUCGAUCGAUUCGAAACCCUAACCCCUCGAGUUACCAGAAUAAGUAGAAAAUUGAGGAAGGAGUCGUUGAAAAAUCGGGUCCAGUGAUGGGAUUUUGGAUUGAGAAUGUGGGACUGGAACAAUGUUUGUGAGAGAUGGUGACUAGGGUUUUGGAGAUUGGAAAGAAACGUAGUCAAGGGUGAAAUCGAGGGGCCCAAGCAACCAGCGAAUCAACGAAAAGAUAUAUGAAAGGGCAAUGCGGCGGAUCCUUAAAUAUAUAAACCAUGAAAUUACAAAAAUCGAUGAAAAAAAAUAAAAUUAUUCCAUUUCAUAUCGCCUAAAAAAAUGGGAUUGUCAAUUUUCUUCUCUUUUUCUUUUUACGUGUUAUAAAAUAAUUAUAAUUAAUAUAUUUUUUUAUAUAAUUUGAAAACAAUUUACAGUUGAUUCAAACCUCUAAUGUCGUCUUUCAGACUUUCACGUUCAUUAUUUUAUUAAUUUUUUAUAUCAUAUCCGCACAAGAAAUUAAAACGGUAUUUAUAACGUCUUUUAACUAACUUCAUGCAAAAUUAUUUUAUUUAUAAAAUAGCUUCUUUUUUUUCCAAAAAAUAUUAUUAAUUAUUAUUUUUUUUAAUCCGUCCCGUUCGUAUGAAAAAUUAGUUAAGAUCAGACAAUACAUAACGGUCUUUUUAACGGUUUUCUUUUAACCGUUUUCCUUAUACUAAUCGGGAAGAGGUGGGUCCAUUUUUUUUGUCAUCAGUAGCCAAAAAGGGCCUGGCAACGGGUAUCACUAGCACAAGACUAUGGAUAUUUAAACGUUCCUUUUUUUCUUUUUUUUGAAUAUCGGUUAGUUUGGCGGGUAACAUAAUCAGGAAAAUUAUAUAUUAUUAUUAACUAUGAAAUGUCCAGUUUAAAAAAGACCGAGUGAAAUAAUAAUUUUUUUUUCUAUUUUAAAAAAUCGAAGACAUGCUUCCAUGAGCGAGUGAAAUAAUCUUUUCAGGGAUCACUUCUUUAAUUUUUUUUUAAAAAGAUAAUGAUUUAAAAUUAUUUAAAAAAUUAUUAUUUCAAAUUUUAAAAGAUAUAGGAUAGGUAAAUACUUAAUAUAAAAAAGUUCGUAUUAUUUUUUAUUUUUUAUUUUUAAAAAAAAUCACACCUAAAAUCAUUUUUAUAAUUUAAAAAAUAUUAUUUAUUUUUUUUAAUUUUAGGAUAUUUAUUAUUUUAUUCUUUUUAUAAUUAAACAAAUUUAUAAAAAACCAGUAAAAUUUAUUAGAUGAAAUAACAACCAAGCAAAUAAUAUCUUUUUUUUCAAUGCUUUUUUUUUUGGCAUAAACAUCCUAUAUUAGAUUAAAUUUAAUUUGAAAAAUAGAGUGGAAAGGGGAGUUUAAAAUAUGAAAAAUUUAAAAUUACUUACUAUGACACUCUGUUUUUCGACUUUUUUUUUCUUUUUAACAAAAUAAUAAAUAAAUAUAUAAAUGGCUCCACGUGGAUUUCAAUUAUUAUGUUUGGACUGGGUGAAGUCACCGGCAUUAGAAUUCUGUUGUUCUGGCUCUCUGCUUCAUAUUGGAAAUUUGAUGGAUGAUCUCCAAAAGUUGCCAGUCUAUACAAACAAUAUGAAAAAUGGAUGAAAAAAUUACAUAAGUUACUAAUUUAGUGAUUAAUUAGAACUAUAACCCCAGAUGCCCACUAAGACGAUGAUCGUACAUCCCUUCAUAAACUUCACUUUGAAGUUUGGACCUGGCUGCUUUAUGUUUAAAUAAUUUUUAAUGCUAUUUAAUAAUAUGAAUACAACCAUUCAGCAGAGUCUUGACUUUGAUUGGCUAUGAUCUCCAAUUAUUUUACCGUUUCUUUUUGUAUUGGUUGAUUAUUUGUUGUACGCUAGAGAUAUUAGACCAAGAUCAAUCCAGUAAUAUAAAUAAUAUAAAUGCACAGGAAAGACACUACUAAAAUUGGGUUUGACCCAUGAUAAUCUUCAUCUAAUUUGGGCAUGAAAAAGAUUCAAGAUUUACCCAACUAUUAGAACUGUAACCCAAGCAUUACCCAUACAACCAGACUGCAAGUCUGCAAUUAUAAACUUUGGCCAGAGGCCUACGUGCAUUUAUGAUCAGCUGGCGAGGCACUCAUGAUUUUUCAUGCUUAAUUAUAAUUAUAAUAGAAGAAAAGAAAGAAAAGAAACCAACAUAAUCUGACUCGCCCUUGUGAAGGUUUCCUCCAACAGACUUAGCCCACUUCACAUAGAAGCGAAGAGAGAGAUUUGGAGGAAGCGAAAAUGCCAAAGGAUCGAAGUUGCCCUACACGAGAAACCGCCCUUCAGAAGGCGAUUCAGUCCGAGUAGUCCCCAUUUCUCCCACUGUCGUGAAUCAACGAGCGUGGGGAAGGAUAUGCACACCUAAGAAAGACUGCGGCCACCAUGGAUAGGAGUGGAUGUGACCACCCCCCACCUGGUUGCUUGGAGGCAUUGGUGGGGGGUGGCUCCGUGGAGAGAAGAUGAAGCUCAGGGUCACAUGAUGGUACGGAGAGGGUUGAUCGGGGAGGCCUGGUGUGUUGUUAUAAGGAUUUCUUGGUCAUGGGAGCAAUAAAAGGAUGAGGUGACUUAAGUAGUAGUGUGUGGUCACUUUUGGUUAAAGGAGGCAAAAAGAAAGUAGGGUGAGUGAAAUGGGACUGAAAGUUAGCAUCUUCCAAGGGAUAUGCCAUUGUGCCCUCCACUGGCUCCACAUCUCAUGACAGCUCCCCCUUCCAUUCUUUUUCCCUUCAUUUUCUUUUCUUGCCCUACACUCUAUACUCAUUUCAUCAUUUGUUUAUCCAAUCAGGUAUCAUGCAUUCCACCAUACUAGUAGAUGACUUGGCAUGCCAGGUGGCAAAAUCCCCCCCCCCCCCUCUUUUUUUAAAAUGCUCUGGGCUCAGUAAACCUAUAACUUGUGGGUUGGGAAUUACAUAUUGAAGCCAUUUUUGUCAUUGGAACUUGUUUAGUGAUGGGCAAGUGUUGAAAUUCGUGCAACGAUUUAUGAUGAAAAAUUAAGGAAAACGAAAAAGAAAGAACAUGUAGAUUUAACAUGGUUCGAUAAAUUGUCUACAUUCACAGAAACAGAAAGGAUUAUUUUCACUACUUAUCAAAUUAGGUAUACUAAUCUUUAAAAAUGAAAUUCCAAAAAUACCCCUAAAUCAUACUAUGAGAGGCGUUGCUCCCCAAAUCCCCCAACCUAUCAUUCACCCACAACAAUAAAAAUACAAGUCUGAAUGACAAAUGUCGUCAUUCCGUUUCGCUCUAGCAUUUGCCCCUUUCUCUCCAUAUGUUUUUCGCUCAAAUAUGAGCCACAUACUACAACAGCGAGUCAAGCAGUUGGACCAAAUUUUGAUGUGACCAGAUUCUGAUGUUGUGCCAAGUCACGUAUAUAAAAAGCGCUCUUUGUGUCACCUACAGGAAAACAUUUCCCAAGAAACACAUAGCCUCUUAUUUAAAGUUGGUUAAGCCUUUUCUCCAGGCUUCUUUAACUUAAUUUCCCUUGACCGAGUGAGAUUUUAUUUUCUUGGUGACACAAGCAGUAUCAUUUUGUUCGAUACUCUCUUUUGAUUGCGUAAUGCUUUUCUGAAGGUGCAGUUGCUCCUUGAUGAUCAUGUAAUCCUCCAUUUAGCCAAAAGUUGCUAGAUACAGCUAAGGAGUAAAAAGGAAAAAAAAAAAAAUAUAUAUAUAUAUAUAUAUAUACCUGGGCAGCUGGGCUACGCAAGCAAGCUAGACAGAUUUAAUGGAUGAAUAUCAGAAAAGAUGACGAGCACAACUGACCCUUGGUCAAUAUAUAAAUAGCACGAGCCAAAAUUUUGAGGUUGGUGGCAUAUGCGGAUCCUGGAACUACUGGAAGAAUAUUACUUGAUGCGACAACCACCACUUUCCUCAAGCCAUAUUGCUUUACUGAGAAUUUGCCUUCCAACAUAUACAACACUUUGGACCACAACAGAAAUGAGCUGCUUUAUGCAUUACCACUAAAACAAAAUAUUGAAUGGCUUUUCUCUAAGAUCAACCAGCUCUACCUAUCUUUGCAGAACCAUGACUGUGGACAGUGUUCAGGCCAUUGGAAUGGUCUAGAAGUGUGUCUAGACCUUUGAUCAUGACACCAGCAAAUGAAAUUAACUUAUCGCCUGGUUUGCAUGGGUGCCCGGAAUUUCAUCCAUAGACAUUCUUGUAGUAGUUCUACAGUUAGUUUCUAUUAGCUUUCUGGUAAACACUAUCUAACAUACACAAGCCUGAACAAUGGAAAAGGUCACAUAAAAAUCAAAUUAUGUGAAGUCCCUUAACAUUUUUGCCCACAUUAUUCUCGUGUCGUCUAACAUUGAUAGUUUGAUAUGGCACAUGUUCAUGUUAUGCACCUUAUAUAUAUAAUUGUUAUUUUAUUUACAAAGUAGUUUCCUUUGGCUAAUACUACAUUACACAAAUCGCAAACCCUAUUGUGAAUCUGUGAUGAAUAUGAGUGCAAAAUGAAAAUUGUGAUACAACAAAAAAGAUUCACCAAAAAAGCUGCACCUGGGAUUUGGAGAAGAUAAAAGGGAAAGGAUUCAUGAGAACCACCUCUUUCCAUUCUUGGUGACCUUGAGCUUCAUCACAAGUUCCUCACGCUGAGCUUCAACCUCUGCAUAUUUGAGGCUCAUGUGGAAGUAGCGUUCACGAAUGUCUCUUAACUCUGACUCUAAGGAUGAUUUUGUGCGUUCAUAUCUUUCUUUUGGUACUACUUCACCAUCAGCUGUUGAUUUCCUUGAAGAAUCUGCAGGACCUUUUCGCCCAUCAGACAACCUGAAAAGUAAUCCAGGAUUUUGUUAAAACAAUGAACACUGGCCUGACAUAGAGCUGUGACAAUUGAUUUAUCAUUCACAUUGGAAUAGUUCAUGUUGUAUGGCAUUUGCUACCUUAAUAUGAUGAAAGAUCUCUGAAGUUUUUAUUUGCUUAUUUAGGUAUAUCAAUAUUGUUUUUUUUUUCUAUGAUCCCAGUGAAAACCUAUCAAAGUUGAUUAACAACUUCUCAGUUAAUUUUCUGUUCCUCUGUAUUUUAUUUUAGCUUUUACCAAUAAGUCAACUGAGAAGCAACAUAAACCUCAGCUGAUUCAAGCCCAGAUGCUCCACUGUCAUAUUAAGAGAAACCAGUAUGGUCCUUAAUUUUUCACUAUCUAGAUUUCUGCAUUCAUAAUCUCGUAGACUUUCACAUCUUUCUUCACUACCUUCAAUUCAGUAUCUUGAUGGUCACACUGUUGGUUCCUUUAGAGCCUUCCAUAUAUAUUUAUAUGUUGCUUCCUCCCAAUUAGAUCUUAACAUAGAAAAAUGAUCACUACAUAUGAUCUUCACAAUAUGGUCAUGUAAUCUUUCAGUUGGGUUCUUUAACAGUUGGGAUGGGGGGUUUAUAGUUAUUGUCCCACGUAAUGACCUUUGCAAUCAGUUAGUCCUCUGCAUCCCUAACCCCAUCAUUUAAACACAAACAACUCCCAUCUGGGGAUAAGAUGCAAUAUAGAAAAACAAUGGAGUGGCAAGAGUUCUACAAAGAAACCCCAGAUUUAAGUUCUUGAAGCAGGAGAUGGAUCAAAGUGAACCAUUAUUUCCCAAUUUAAGUGAUAAAGGAAGGAAUCAGAAUAGGACAGGUUCUGUCUCAAAGAUCAUUACUGGAUGACAGCUUAGCUGGCUGUCAAUCAUACAAGACAUAACCAACCAAAAACAAACUAACAACCACAGGAGCAGCCAAAAACCACAAGAUAUAAGCCUAGAUGUAAUUCAAGGACUUGGUUUAGGAUGUUUGGAAAAGAAAAAAAUAAUCCUUUUCUAUCAUAACAAAAGUUGUUUCAUAAGCAUUAUUCUUCUUUUAUUUAAUUCUUAAAGAUCAAAUUAGAAAACUUUAUGUGCUAAUUACCCAAAAAAUGCCUUGAUAUCCUAUUUGGAACUCUUCAAAUUUCUUUGGGAUUUUCUCUAUUUCAUCCUCUUUAGUUUUUUAUUUUUUAUUUUUUUAAGUUAAUUCUGUACUGACCACGAUUAAACUCCUCCAAGCCUCUGAUCAUAUAAUCUAGAAAAAAAUUAAAUAAGCUGAUAUCUCUAGAUUGGGACUAUUAUAAGGAUAUGAAGUAUAAUUUUUUUUUUUUUUUUAAAUUGUUGACAUGUUUUGAUUAUCAUCUAUAGGCCAAAAAUGAGAAAUACUAGAUUUGGAUAUUGCCUCUUUUGGAAACCAUUUAUGUGUCCUGCUAAAAUGUUCAGAAUUAAUAAUAAGAGAUCUAAUGGCAUACUAAAUUUGGAUAUUGCCUCUUGAAGAUAACUUUGUUGCUGUUAAGUGAAGGUUAGUUUUAUCAAUGAUAUAUCCAUAGCCAGAAUAUGUUCCACUUAUACCCACCUUUUAAGCUGAACUUUAUACUUUUUAUUGGCCUCCAAUGCCUCAGCAAGUUCAUUCUCGAGCAACUGCACCUUUGAAACAGGAUCAACUCCAACAGCAUGAGAAUUUUUAUCUUGCAAGCCAUUCUUUUCAUCACCCUGAAAUGAAUAAAAAAAAAAGAAAAGAAAGAAAAGAAGAAGGGCAGAAGAAGCUUCAAAGAGUAAGAAGAACUCGCCUAUGUUGAGAGGAUUAAUUUAUAAUCAAAUAAUGUCAAGCAGGAUUCAAGAGUACAUGUGCCUUUGGUAAAGAUGUUACAAGGUUGGAGGGUCUAUGUUAGCUCUGGAGGCAAAAUAAAGUAGACAAUUUAGAUGUCUAACCUCUUGUUGAUGUUGGGUGCUGUAGGUAUUCUGUUGAUCUUUCAAAAGUUCUCGUACUUGACCAGUCUUCGUGGAUUGCUUCCUUCUAUUAUCACGAUGUUGAUUGGUGCUCUUUGCUGUUUCAUUCUGCCCAAUAAAUCCAAGAUUAGAAUUAAAGUCUAUCAAUAUCUAAAUCAACUCAACAUGCUAUUAAAGAUAAAUUUUAAUUUAAAGUUUUUAUGUUUCCAAGGAAGAAUGACACUAACCUUUGAGGUCAUAUGAUUCACCUUGGCAUUGGAGAGACCAGUAAAUUUUUUACUGCUGGACUCGCUCCGACCUUGUUUCUCUUCCUUCAUCAAUUUCAGUUCCUCUUCAAGGGCUUCGGCUCUCUUCAGGCAUUCAUUCUUCUCCUCCUCAAGUUGUUCUACUUUUCGCUGAAAUUGCCUGACUUCUCUCCUAAUCCGGCUGAGCUCAUUCUUCAGCUCAGCAUCCUGAGCACAGAAUGCCUCUCUUGCAGUUAAAUCACCCUCCAUGCGCAAAAUCUUUUCUUCUAAUACAACUCGAUUUAGUUUGCAGUCCUCUAAUUCAGAUGUGGACGUUUCCAAGCUAGAAAUCUUCUCAAUGAAUGAAAUCUUCUCUGCCUUGAGUUCUUCGUUAUCUGCAGAUAUUAAAUGCAAUGAAGCUUCCAUUUUUCCCCUUUCAAAUUUAGCUGCAUCAAACUCAGCCUUUAGAGCCAAAACUUCAUCCUGAAGAGGUGCUAAUUUCUGCAACUGAACCUUCAAACUAGCAGUUUCUUCCAGGAGUUGUUGGCGCUCAUAUUCAGAAACUGUAAGCUUUAGUUCAAGAUCACUCAAAGUGGUCUUAAGUUUCUCUUCACUUGAUCUAUAAUUUUCCAGCAACUUCAAAUUUUUUUUGUGGUCAGCCAUCAGCAUUGAAUGAUUUUGUUUGGAAAUAGAAAGGUCACUCGUCAAGCCUUGUACCUUUUCUUCAGAUUCCAGUUGGACAAUAUAGAGCUCAUUCUCAAUCAAUUUAACUUUAGACUGAACUUCUUGAAGCUCAGAUUCAAGUUUAGCUUUAUCUGCAUGUAAGCUGGAUGCUUCAUAAACAGAAUUGGAUGUUAUUCUCUCUCUUUCAUCAUGGGUUGCAGAAAUUUGAUUGUUUAGGUGUUCUACCUCUUUCUGAAGCUUCUCAACUUCUGCUGUCUUCUCCGAGUACCUCUGAUUGAAUAAGCUUUCCCCCAGAAUAAGUUUCUCCUUCUGUUUCCUGUUUUCUUGAAGUAGAAUAUCUAAUUCUGAAGUGAAGAUUUUCUCUUUUGAAGCCAUAUCUUCAAGCAUUGAAGAAAGAUUUUCUUCUAAAACUUCUACUCUUUUGGAGCAAUUGGCAAAUCUUUUCUGUGAUUCCCUCAAUUUGGCCUCCAAUAGAGUAGAGCCCUCAUGCAACUCCAGUUUUUGCUUUCUCAACUCUCCGUUGGACUUCUGAAGAGAGCUGCACUCUUCAAUGAGCCUCUCAGCAGUGGCCUUUAAUUUAGGGUUUGCUCUUUUCAGGUAGUCACACUCUUCUUGAGCUUCUGACCAUUUAGUUUGCAUGUCCUGUAGUUUUUGUUCUAUAACCACCUUUUGUGUCUCCAUCUCAAUUGCCAGUCUUCUGAUCUCAUCUUGGAAACUCGAGGCUACAGAUUUAGAAUUCUCUAGUUCCAGCUGGCAGGAUGCUCUCUCAUCGGUCAAAUACCUUAGUUGAGCUUCCAAGCCUGAUGUGCGUUCUGAUAACUGAACAUUCUCUAGUUCUAACUCGGAUAUAUGGAGCUCUAGUUCACGCUUUCCAUUCUCUAGCUCUGACAUUUUCCUCCGAAGGAUCCUGUUGGCAGAAACAUGGGAAUCCACACUGCUGCUAAGCACCAUUAAAUCAUUUCGCAAAUCAUCCAAGCAUUUGGAGGUAAUAUUACUUUCUCUCACCACAAUUUCAAUGUUUUCCUCCAGCUGAGUUUUUUCUUUUUGAAGCUCAGAAACCUGACUUUCUGAUUCCCUUUGGGACUGUCUAAGGAGACCAAUUUCCUCUUCCUUUGAUAGCAGACAAGCUUCAAGCUUUAUUAUCUCAGACUUUCUUUCUGUCAGUUCCUUAUCCAGAUCUGUAACUUUAACUUCCAGUUCCAUCUUUGAACUCUCAAUUUCAUGAAUCGAUCGAAAAAGAUUAUUUUCCUUUACAAUGUAGUCUUCCAGCUUCUUUUGGGCCUCUAUAAUUGUUCUGCUCCCAUCCCUGAUCUCAGCUUCAUCAUGUUUGCGAACUUCUUCACAUUCAAUUAUCCUUGCUUCCAAUAAUCUGUUCAGUUCAACUAAACAGUUCAAGAUAGAUUCCACAUGGUCUCUCUGAGCAAUCACAUCUACACUCUUCAAAUCAACUAAGUUAUCAAUAUCGCAGCCACAUUCUUCAUUCACAUUAGAAGAUACACCAUACCAUGGUUUCUUUAUUUGAGACAGAGCCAUCUGAAGCUGUUUAAAUACUUCAGAAAAAAUAGUUGAUGUUCCAAAGGCAGCAAGCUGAUCCUCCCCAUGCACUUUCUUCUCCAGCUCUUGUUCCAGAUGGCAUAUUUGGAGCUUAAGUUCACUCACUUCUGACUCAGAACUGGAAUAGGAUUUAGCCGGAACCUCAGUGGAUGAAAAAUCAAAGGAUGCGCUUCCUCCCAUGGAUUUGCUUUUUGAUUCCUUAAGCUUGAAUAAGAGUUCCAGAUUUUCAUCUGUGAGCUCAUUGCAAUCUCUCUCUAGCUCCUCCAACUUUACUUUCAAGGCUUCAAUUUCUUUGAUCAGACUUUCAUCACCUCCAUUAUUGGCAACCAUUUGCUCUGAAUUUGUUCCUUUGAUAGACUCAGAUAAUCUUGCUUCCAAGUCGACGAUUUCUUCUUCUUUAGCAGAUAAUUUGGAUUUGUAUCCUGUCUCAACAUCCAAAAUAGCCUGAUUACUCAAACUCCGUUCAUUCUCUAACUCAUGGUUUUUGUCUUCCAAGGCUUGUUCCAGAAAUCCCACCUUAACUUGUAAAUUUUUCUCCGAAUCCUGCAAUUGUUGCAGCUGGAGUGCUACAUCCUUGUUUUCUGCUAAACUCUCAUGGAUGGAGCUAUCUGCAUCAUUGAGUUUCAACCGUAAAGCUGCAAGAUCCUCUAGCUCAAUUUUCUGCUUUUCUAUCGUCAAUUCCAGUUCCUGAAGGACAGAAACAAGCUCAAUGUUUGACUCUUGACUUCUCCUCAACUGCAGAGCAAGAUUUGCAUUGGAUUCUUUCUGAAAUUUUAUCUCAUCCUCUAGUUCCUUUUGAAUAUGGGUUGCUCCUUCAUCUUGAAAUGUGGACUCCCCCAUGGCUUGUUUCAUCUUUGAUUCCUCUAACAAUAUUUUCAGUUGAUCAAUUUCUUUCUUCAAGGCAUCACGUUCUGAGUAUGCUGCUGAAAGCUCCAUAUCCAAAGUUGCCUGGUUUUUUGACUGAUCAGAGAACUCCUUCCUCAGGAUUUCCAAAUCAAGCAUUAGCUUCUGCGAAUUUCUUUCCCACAUUUUUGCUUCUGCACGAAGCUCUUCUAUUGUAUCUUCUGCAGCUUCCAGAAGGUUUUUAGAAGAACCACCAUUUGUCAAGGAUGAUGAGGCAAUAACAUUUGAAGCACUUAGAGCUAUGUCUGGCGGAGGAUUCUGAGAAAGAUUUCCUGAACCCAUUACCCUUGAAUUAAAUAAUGAAUGAAUUGAUUGAGGAGGAUCUUCAAAGGUAUAUUUGUCGUGAGAUGCACUAGUUUGGGAGCUGGUUGAGUCAUCUCUUCCAGUGGGUUUGUUCCCAUCACCAUUCAUGUUGUUUGCAGAGGAGAAACUUCCCCUUACUACAAAUCCCCCAGCAGAGUCAAAGCUGUGAUUGGAACCUGAUGUCGAGAAACUUGUUUCCUGCAGGGAAGUGAGGAUGUUAUGUCAAUUGCAUAGUAACAACAAAGAAUGAUUAAAGUAAUUAAGUAAUGGCCUCUUUUGCAUACACCAUAUGCACACCACAGCAGAAAAUUAAUAAAUCCAUAUACAGAGCCCCCCAUUACUGGGAGUAUAUAUGAAUAUGAUUUCAUGGCUUGUACUCAAACAUUUAUAGGAAAUUUAUAUAUUUAUAUCUUUUUUCUGCAUCAUGAGCCAGUUUAAUAACUUGGGGCAAAGAUUACAGUUAAAUUCCCUAAAUGAGGCAAGAAUGCUUGUUCUCCAACCAAGAUUAAUAGGAUCAAUUUGGAGAUUGAAAGAAAAGAUUUUAAUGAACCCACACAUUAGUUUUUCCUUAAUCCUUUUGUUGUAGGGUAUGUUCAGUGCUGAAAGAAGUCCAUGUUUCAAUGAAGAGUUCAUUCAAAACACAGCACAAGUUUUGACCAAAUAGGAUGGAAUGAAACUGUAGAGAGCUAUAGGAAGAUAAAAUGUGUAGGGCACUCCUCCCUAUUAACAUAAUACAAAUAUAUAACUACCUAGGAAUUCCAAUUGUGGUUCUAUUCACUAUUUUAGGAGUUGGAUUCAAGCUGUCUCCGGUUCCAGCUCUCAAGGAACAGCUGAAAUGCGUGUAGUAGUGUGGUUUCUUCAAAUUCCAAUCUCCAUAAGUUCCUGAGACCAGUUUAGAGGCUUACAAGAGAUUCCACCUUUAUUUUCUUGAAAAAUGUGUACAAGAAGGUGUAUCAACAUUUUUAUAGUGGCGCCUGUUCUAAAUUUUUUACUUUCUGCAUUAUUCUAUAGUUAUGAUGUGUUGACGCUCAAGGACAUGUUGUAUCUGUUAUGUUAUGCAGUAUAUUUUUAUUUGAAUAUUGAAGCUAACAUAACAAUGCACCAAGGGGAGCAAAUGGGCUGAGAAGUACAUGCAUAGAAAUAGAAAACACAGCAGAGGAGGAUAUCACAACAAACAGCAUACAAAAUCUAUCAAAUAUUUCACAAAAUGAGAGAUCAUCAUUCAAAGUUUGCAGCACUAUUCCACAAAGUAAAAUGUGAUUAACCUUAUAAAAUUCCUAGUAAUUGUUAAUGUGAUUUAGCCAUAAAGUAAUUUUUUAGGAAAGUGAGACAAUCGGUCUUGGUUCAGCUUAUUAGAUAUUGACCAAGAUAUAGAUUUUCAAGUUUGUAGAUUACAUGGCUCUAAUUUUUUUUAUGACUAAAGCAGUGGUUCAGACAAUUCUAAUGACAUUGGACACAUAAUGUUAUCUUCUAAAAUCAUAUCAGGCAAGAAAAAUUAUGCACAACUGACAUGUUCUUGCAAUGAGCAUGAGCAUAACAAAAGAUGGGAAAUCCACCAUGUUUAAGUACAACAGAAGAGAGUUAUACAACCAAUGAUGAGAGAAAAAGUGUCACACCCUACUCCCAAGUUCUCCAGGAUGUGAGGUAGGUUCCAAGUCUUUACUAGAGGAUGAUCCUCCAUUCUUUGCAGCAUUAUCAGACCCAUCCAACUUUAUAUCUGUAUCAUGAUUAUCCACCUUUGGAUCCUCUUCAUGGGAAUUUGUGUCUUUGGAUUCCUCAUCCCUAGAAAACAUGCAGCAAAGCUUCCAAAUGAAACGAAAUAGUGGAAAUUCAAACAAAGAAUAAAGAAGCUUCAGCAUCAAGAACAAACCUUUGUUUUAUCCUUGGUGUUAAGCAAUGAAUUUUUACCUACAAAUUAGACAGACAAGAAAAACAGAGUUAGAGCCAGAAUGGCAGAUCAGAUGGCUUUUUAGUAGUGGCAGUGCACUACCAAACAAGCUAAUGCUAAAAUACAAGGCCAUAACUACAAAGUGAAAAAACCAUCUGAGAGAUGGAGAAUAGUAAUGACUGCUAACUAGCUAUAGGCUUGAACUUCACAUUGUCAGUUCAAUAACUCUAUUUCUCUAUUAGUUACACCAUCAGUAACUGCUUUUAACUUACUUUAAAUAGAACUAGAAAUUUGCUUAGUACUACUUGUGAAUUUCCUUUCACUUUGCUUUGUGGAUUCGAAGGGUUCUCCUCCUUUUCCUCUUCAACUUCUCUCCAAGUCAAGAAUGGACUUCUUACAUAAUGAAUUUCAAAAUUUUCUGGUUGAUCAGGAGAAUAACUUUCUAGAUUUAAAAAAAAAAAAUUGGAAAAAUUAUGAACCAUUGUCUCAAUUCUAAUGACUGGCAACUGCUAACAAAACAAAGCAAAGCAUUGUUUUUACUGUUGCUAGAUCACAGAAGGUUAGUGAAAUAUCCCACCACAUUGCCUACAUUUCACGUUACCUUCACAAGAGGAGAAGGGUAUGUGAAUGCAGCACAGAUUAAGAGCAGUCAUAGAGUAGAUGUGACCACAGAGAGUGGUGAACAAAGGUCUUGUUAAGACCCUAGUGGUUUGAAGGUUUUGAUAUAAGUUUUGUCAUAGACAUUUGGGACAUUUUUAGAUGCACCUUCCUUGGAAAUAUUCUUAUUUCCAUUUGUAUCUAUAUCUCCUAUAUCCUUUGGGCAUCAAUCUCCCAUCGUGUUUUGUGGGAAUUAGGAAUCAUCCACUCUCCCCCACAGUGACUUUUACGUGGUGUUUUGGGGAAUGCAUGGUAGAGUAUUCGUCAUUGACAUGAAAAUAUGACUCACACUUUCUGUUAUGAAGAAUUGUAGAUUAGUGAUUGAAAAAACAACUAAGACAUCACAUGCCAAACUAAUAAAUAUUUAACUAUUAACCGCUUUAAGAGAGACUAUCUUCCACAUUUUUUCCCUUUUGAGUGGAAAAGCUCCUCGCAAAAAUCAUACUCCUCACUUAAUGACAGACCAUUUAUCUUCCAUUUAAAAUGCAGUCAAGGAAGCUCAAAUAACUCAAAUAUAAUCUUCCAUAGAAACAAAGAUAUAUGUAUAUGUGUGCAUGCAUAUACAUAUAGAACAAGGAGAAAAUUCUCUGAAAUAAAAUUUGACUCAUUGGAUUAAACUAGCUUCUACAUCUCCUGUCCAUUCAACAUCUUGGAAAUCACAGACAGAAAAUCCUUGAUCCUGCUACUCAAUUCAUUCUCAAACAAACCACUCUCAAUUUCUAGUUGACUGCAAUCAAAUCUUCAUAAGUAAAUCCCUGAUCUUUAAAUUUUGUAAUAAUGGAAACAUCACCAGCAUGAGUGUAUGACUCACUUGUAAAAUUGUCCCAUGAUUGCACUUCUUCAAAGGCAAUGAAACUGAAACAGAGGCACUUGAACUCAUGUAGCUUGCCAUAUUGAUGGUAGCCUCUCCAAGGAUCCCAGUUCUAGCUGAUCCCUAUAAUAAGAAAGUCACUUGGAAUUAUAACAGUCCAUUUAAAGAAAGCAAAGGUAAUGAACAAAAAGAAUAUAAGAAAAAAAAAAAUCAUUUCCUGGUCCAUAGAGAAUAAAACAACAAUAAUCAUAAUUGCCAAUCUGUUAUUUAAGUAGCGAUAAUCAGCAACGAGAGGAUGUGCACAUUGUACAGAGUUGACAAUACUAAGACCCCUCAAGCGUUGUCUCCCAUUACAAGGACAAUUUGUCAAAGAAAUGCAUGGUUAGAACAUAGAGUCGAUGGGUGGUAACAACAAUAAUACCAUGGCAACAACAAACUUGAAGAGAAACUCCUCCAGAUCCUUCGAGUUAUCCUCUUGGGAAAUCCAAAUUGAUUCUGACAGGGUUUCUGUCCAUUGACAAUUUCCAUUCCGUGCUGAUGCUUUGCUCGACUUUGCAAUUGAUUUACCUGUUUCGACGGAGACAAUAGACACAAAAAGUUUGUCCCACCCUUUUGGCACCUGUUACCACAAAAUACUAGUAGUUAGCAAAAGGAGUGACAAUUCACCACGUAUCCUAGAUACUCAAUUCAGCCAAAGCCUUUCUUUGAACCAAAUGGGGUUAGCUAUACAAUAUCAUUAAUCUGAUGGAAAUAAAUCCUCAGUCUAUCACUUGGUUUGAAACAAUUCCGCCAUUCAGCAGUAGAUGAUAGUUUUAAGUAUUCAACCUCUUUAAGAAUCUCAGAAGACUAUGAAAAAUUUCACAAUCAUAGUAGAAAACAUGCCAUUAUUUAAUACUUAGAUCAACCUCUCAUGAACAAAUCCGGCAUAUGAAAUAAAAGAUAGUUUCUCGGUCUUGCAUAGUACGGAAUUCAAAAUUUAUAGCAGUUCGAGCAACAUUUUGGGAAAUCGUUAAUGGUGAAGUUUCCGUAAGGCAUUGCAACAUUUUCAUGAAAAUUAUCAAUGUUUUUGAACGAGAAAGUGCAUUACAAGGAAGCAGAGCCUAUGUUUAAUUCCAUCAAAGAAGGAAGAAGAGGAAAGAAGGUAAAAUGCUUGAAAAGGGCUUAUAUUCUCACUCAUUUUCCUUCCUUUUCCACCAAACAGGGAGCGUACCUGAGUAGCCUGAAAGUUUGAGAAUUUGAAAUCAACCCUCUCCCCUGAUUUAGCCGCCUUGUUCCUAUGCAACCUGAACAUUUUGUUUUUAAUUCCCUUUCUCUCUCCAAACUCUUACAAAUUCAGAAAACAACCACCAUUAUCACAAACUCAUCGCCUACUUAGUGGGAGAAACGGAUGAUGAAAGAAUCGAGUGACAGAACCAAAGCAGAGGGAAGGGGAGGGAGAGAGUUAGCUAGCUGGUCAUUAUUGUAGGUUGUUGUUUUAUUUUCGCACACUGCUUUUCCUUUUCUUUGGCGUCUCAUUCAUGUGUAUGACAACGAGCGAGUAUACACGAACGAUGCACUCAAGCGCAUAUGCGGAACCAGCCGGCCCCAUUUAAAAUUUUAAACCAGUGUGUAUGUUCAUCUCCAGCGUACAUAAAGAGGUCAUUACGUGUUCAAAAUAAAUCGCCUUAUAAAUCUAUAAUUCGACAAGAGAAAGGAAGAAAGAAGUGGGCCAUCCCCUCGGCAUCAUCGACGCUGUGAUAUUCCCACGAUUUUUUCCGAUGUCUUCCAUUCCUUCCGUUUGUUUUGUCUCCUACUCUACAUUUUUCUAUGGAAUGUCCGACCGCUACACUCCUCUCCUAAUUUACCCACCGCUUUGAAUUGAUUGAUGGUCUUUUUUUUGGCUGUUGCCCCAUUCAUAUUUCUUUAUCUGCAUCCAACCACACUUAUCUUCACUUCUAAUUAACAAACAAAGCAUACAAAAGUUGAAGGUUUUGUAUAAAAUAAUUCAUAGAUGAUGUUACUUUCAUUGUCUGCACCCAAUUUUAAUUUUUCGAAUUGGUAUUGAAAUGACUACAAAUUAAAAUUAUAACCAUUCACAGUUAUAAUAGAAACAAAAUCAAGAUUGGGACUUAGUUUGAUAAUUUGAUAGAUGGUUCUGAUAAAGUGCUUUAUUUUAUUUCAAAAGUUAGAAAAGAGUUUUCCAAAGAAGAGGAGGGACCUCCACAAAUUCCAAAGGAAGAGCUGUAGUUUGUGACCAAAGCUAUGGUAAGACUGCUUUUGGGCCUAAGGAUCAGUACAAAACAGUACCUUGCUGGAAUCUAAAAGAAGAGCUCGGAGUUGUUUCUUUAAUCGAGGCUCAAGUAACAAAGUGAUAACUGGUAAGUAACUACCGCUAACACCUUUCUUACUACAGUUGCUCCAAUGUUUUGGUGCAAUGUUUGAUAUAGAAUGCUCGUAAAUGGGGGAAACUUGCAGAGAGAACCAUCUGCCGAAAUUCUUCUUCAGUCCUAUGCUACCCCUUGGCUCUGUUGAUUGUCAUGACAACGAUGUCUCCCUCCAAGAGGGUUGUGUUUUAAUGCUAUUGUCCCACUCCUUUGGCAGCACAGACUCACAGGUAUCAUCUUUCCACCCACCGGGAGUGCAAUGGAGCAGUUCCUCAUCACUCCAAGUUGUCAACACCCAUUGUCAAAUACAGUAUCUGUGCUAAAAAAAUACGAGACAAACGCAUUUACUUGUGAUAUUGGCAUUAUUGAGACAGGGAGAGUGUCGUUGCUCACUCUGUAGCAUAUAUUACAUGUUCAGUGUUCUUUAGAAUCUCAAAAUAUACAUCACAUCAGUUUUUGUGGACCAUAUCGCAAAAUUCAGUCCAAAAAGCAUCCAUCAUCAUGUCCAUUUCAACCAGCUUUUUUCUUGUGUAACAUUACAUGAUGCCAACUCCGGACACAGAAAGAUUCGUAUAUCAGUUGUGGACCGUCUUUGAGUUUUUCUUUCCCAAUGUCCGCCACUCAUCUAGACUCACUAAGAGAGUUUUACAGCUUCAGAAAAGUCCCAAAGUAGAAAAAUAUGCAACAACGCAUCACCAGGGCCCCCUUCGGCAAAAGCAUCAUAUAAUAUGAUUAUUUAACUAUAGUCUCUUCUCAGAUUGCUCGGUAACUUGGGCUCUUAAAUAUCAAUAAUUUUCAUUUCUUCUUACCAAAAUGUAUGUUCCCAACAUGCUUGGGAAAAAAAAAAGAAAGGAAAAGGAUAGAUACAAUGUGUUAAUGGUAUGAGAGGGAGAGUAUCAAGAUCCAGUCGCACCAAACAUCAAACUUGGAACACAAGUAAUAAAUACCUUCCAAAUGAAGUCAUAAAAGCAGGGAACCAACCCAAUGAAGUUAAUAACACAGGGAUCCAACUGACUGAACUUGAACUUGUACAAGUACAACCACUGAAAAGUUGCUAUUAUCUCCUGAUGUCCUCUGGAGUCCUUUGUCACAUAUAUGGUUCCAAUGAAUUGAAAUUUUGCCAAAUCAAUGUAUGAAAAAGAGAGAUUUUAGGUCCAGGGCAGUGGGUUUCAUACUUGACUGGACAAGUACCUCCUGAACAAUAUUAGAUCCAGGCUGCCCUCCACGCCUAAUGAGGGGGCUUGGCUUGCAUCUUCAAUUCUCGAGUUUGAGAAUCGAUUUGAUGAGCCAACUUAUUGAAAAAUUCUAAGGCCCAGGUACAAGCCCACAUCAGUGUGGAACUCAUUACUGCUGGACAAAUUGAGAUGGCUUUCAUUCCGUAAUUGUAGAAAUUCUGAGCCUUGCUGAUAUUGCCAAGUUUGGAAGCAUUACGAGUGUGUAAUGGAAUUACGAAUUAGGUAUUCUUUAGCAUUGGAGAUUGAGAUUGUGGGAGAAUAAGGAAAACAUUAUUUUAGUGUUGUCCAAAUGUGAUUAGUUAAAAAAAAUAAAAAAUUAAACAUGCUUUUUUUAAGGUAGUUGAGUAGGUCUGCUAUAGUGAUAGAAGAAAGAAUUUUUAGCACCCGCAUGGAAAAUAAAAAGAAGAAAAAAUGGUGGUAGUUCAAAAGUCAAAUUUUGAUGAUUUUACUAUUAGAUUGUAUGUUUUGAGGGUUAGUUUCCCUAAAAUAUAUCUACCUUGAAAACCAAAAGUCAAAAUUUUCAAAAUUUUUUUUUUUUUUUAGGGGUGUAUGAUUAUAUAAUUCUCAUGCUCUAAUAUAGCUGAUUGGACUUAGUUUUAACUUUUCAUGAUCUCUUUCAUGACCAACUCUUUUUGUCAAUAGAUUGCACUCUGUUUUCACCUUGAUUGAUUCAAAGAAGUGAAGGCCAACAUCUAUUCCACUUUUCAAUGACAUGAUGAUAAUUUUAAUAUAGAGUGAUUCAAAUUACAAAUCUACCUUCACUUAUUAAGUUACAUGCGCAAUAUAUGAUAUUUCUGUCUAAUCAAUCUAAUCUCGUUCAACAAAAAAAGUCACAAUGUUGAUAUUUAAGAAGUUUGAAAGACAAUUAUUUGAUUUUAAACUUAAGGAGGUAAUGUGUAAAACACGAGAUAAGUUGAAAGGAUAAAGUGUAUUAAACUCUCGUUUUUAAUUAAUUGAAAAGGUAAAAUUUACUUGCAUAAUAAUCAAACAAAUUAUAUGAUAUUCCUAAUUUAUUUUAUAAACCAAAUAACAAAUUAUAAUAUCUUUAAAAAAAAUCAUUUGAUCUAUUUUAGGGAAUUCAAACAUUUUGAUACUUUAAAAAUAGAUGAAAAUAAAGAAAGAAUUAUAAGAUGACUCACUGUAUUAUUAACCCUUACUUUAAAGAAGUCACUCAAAUUCUUGAGAAAAAAUUGCUCAAAUUCUUGAAAGAAUUAAUCUACACCUUUAAAUUGUAGAAUAAAGCAAAUAUUAUAACUUUCUUAUUUCUUACUCUUCAAAUCAAAGUUUUUUGGAGACCAUUUUUUUUCCUUUCUAUUUUGUCUUUUCAAUUUUUUUGUAAUAUGAAGAACAAUUGAACUUUUAUUUUUCUCUCUUUUCUUUCUCAUUAUUUGAUACCAUGUUGAGUUUUUUAUUUUUUUUAUUUAUUAUUUUUUAUCUUUGUGAGAUUUUAUUUGCUUACAAAAUAACAUCUAUUUUUAAUUAUAAGGUUUUCAAUUUAAUUGUUGUUGACAAUGUAAUAGAUUUAACCUUAUUUUUCAUAUUAAUUUGUUUUUUUUAUUCGUAUAGUUGUAUUUAUAAUAUUUAUUGGUUCUUCUAUUUAUUGAUGGUUUAAUUUAUUUUUUAUAAAUUCCUUGGUAGGGGUAUAUUUUUUUUUAUUAUUUCUAAAUAUUUCCAAAAAAUUAUAAGGUUUUGUUUUACCCUCUAAACGCUGUACAAAGUUUUCUAAGGUUUAACUAUCUGAACUAUACACACUUGGUUCUUCUACUUUCUAGUCAAUAUUUUUUACAAAUUCUAUUAUAGCAAUUUUUACGAUUCAAUUACAAUUUUAAUUUUCCUCCGUGUGUGUUUUUUUUGCAAGUGAUUUGUUUUCAAUUAAAUAUAAUAUAAAAAAUAAUGAUGAUAUUACCACAUUUAUCAUAAUUAAUUUAUAUUUAAAAAAACAUUUUUUUUUAUUUUAUAAAAAAAUUGAAAUAAAAUAUUUUACUUAAAUGAGUAAUUUUCCUGGACUAAUAAAUUAAUAAUAUAUUUACAUAUUUUUGUAAUAAAUAAAUUAAUAAUAAAUGCAUAUUCAUAUAUUUUUUAUAUAAAUAAUUUGAUAAUAAUUUGAUAUUUAUGUAUCGUUCAAUAAUUUUCCUAAGUUAAAAAAUAAAAGUUUAAUUUUAAAUUUAUGAUUUUUAUUUAUUUAUUUACAUUAUAUUAAUAUUUAUUAUCUUAUUAUUAUUAUAUUUAUUUAUAUGAUAUUUAUAUAUCUUUUAAUAUUAAAAAAAUAUUAAUAUUAUGUAAAAAGAUGAAUAUUUUAACCCUUCAACAUUCAUUGGAAGAUCAAAGAUAAGUAUAAAUUUAUUUAAAAAUAUAUUAAUAUGAAUCUAUUUAUUAUCAAUAAAAAAUUAGAGGAAUUUAUUAUUAAUUUAUUAAUAUAAAGAAUUAAUACAAACACCUUUGUUUAAAAGUUUUCUAUUAUAUUUUGUAAAAUAUUUUAAAAAACAUAUUUUAUUACUUUGCACGUAUUUUUUAACUAGUAAUUAAUAAAUAUCUUUAAAAAUUCCAUCUAAACAUAAAUUUUCUCCAAUAAACUUGGUUUUAUGUCAAAGUUUUGAAAAAUAAUCCAUUUUGAAUGGAUAAAUACCAAAUAUAUAUAUAUAGAUAUAUUUAAAUGAUUUUUACCAUAAAAGAACAAAAAAAAAAAAGUGAUGACAUUUUUGUUGGCUAACUUUUAGGCCAAAAAGAGUGAAUAGUUAGAUUUACAAAUUGUUCAAAAUUCUUCAAACUAAACAAGGAGAUGCCGAAAUGAUAAAUCACAAUGGCUACAAAGUCAAAUCCAAAUAGAAAAUUAAAGACAUUAAUAAAAGAAAGUGAGAGUAUUAUAAAAUAUUCUAAAAAGUUAUCGUUUUAAAGAGUUCAUGAGGACUUUAGUAUAUACCAUGUACAUAACUUGUGUAAGAUAUUUUAAAGAAUUGUAAAGUAUUUUAGAGUAGUGGAAAACUUUUGAAGCAUCCAAAGAGUUUCUCAAGUCUCUUGAGUGCCUACAAAUAGGGGAUAAUCUCAUUUAGUCAAGACAUCAAUCAUUUGAGAGUCUUCUAAACAUUGUGAAGUGUUAUAGGUUCAAUCUCUCAAAGGAAUACAUUUUACAUGGAUACUCUCUCAUCCCUAUCUCUCCCACCAAUUAGGGUCUUUCAUCUCGAUUUGUUUUCUCCUUUCUCUUGUUUCAUCAUCUAUCACCGUAUUCACAUAGGUCGUCUUUUAUACAUAUCCACAUUCUUGCACUUUCACCCACUUUUUUUUUUUCUCUCCAAAAAUGAAGACUAAACCUUAAAAAAAAAUCCUUGCACCUAUUUCAAGUGCAAUAACAAAAUGUGCAAUAUAUAUAUAAAAUAGGUAAAAAAAAGGUUUUUAAAUCUUAAAUUCUUAUUUUAUUUUGAAGGAUUUACUUUGAAUUUAGAAUUGACUAACUCUUGAAAAGAGUUUUCUAAGAGGAGAGGGAUGCUCCACAAACUCCAAAAGAAGAGCUCUAGUUUGUAACCAAAGUUACGGUAAGACUGCUUUUGGGUUCAAAAAUCAGUACAAAACUACACCUUGAAAUCUAAAAGAGGAGCUUCUAGCUAUCUCUUUAAUUAAGGCUCAAGUAAUGAAAUUGAUAAAUAACUACAAAUGACCCCAUCUUACCACAGUUACUGCAAUGUUUCGAUGCACAAUAUGCAUGAUUUAUUAAUCUGAGCAACAGAUUAGGGCCUCCCAAUGUGAGAAUUCCAUUUCCUUGGGUGUUGAAUUUUACUUCUGGAAAUCACUUUUGGAACUCUAAGACAGUAUAGAAAUGGUCGAUAUAGAAUGCUCGUAAAUGGGGGAAACCUGCAGAGAGACCCAGUUGCCUAAAUUCUUCUUCAGUCCUAUGCUUACCCUUGGCUCUGUAGAUUGUCAUGACAAAGAUGUCUCCUUCCAAGAGGGCUCGUGUUCUAAGACUAUUGUCUGACUCCUUUGGCAGCACUGGCUCGCAGGCUAUCAUCUUUCCACCCACCGGUAGUGCAUUGUAGCAGUUCUUCAUGAUCAGCUUGCAUUCUUCAUCAGUCCAAGUUGUCAACACCCACUGUCAAUUAACAUUACAAAAUUAAAAAGAAUAAGUUUAAGUUCCAUUUCCUGAAUCAACCUGCUCAAAAAUCUUCACGUGGAACUAGUACAGCUACCACAAGUCAAGAGUGUACUAAGGAAGUAUAUAAGUUAAAAAAUACCACGGGAACACAAGACACGCUUACAUGUGAUAUUAGCAUUAUUGAGAAGGGGCUGGAAGAGUGUUGAUGCUCACUCUGUAGCAUAGUGUUCUUUAGAAUCUCAAAAUAUACCUCACAUCACAAUUUGUGGACCACAUCAAAAAAUCCAGUCCAAAAAGCAUCCAUCAUCAUGUCCAUUUCAACCAGCUUUUUUCUUGUCCGCUACUCAUUUGGACUCACUAAGAGGGUGAAAAAUGUUCGCUCAUUACUCCAGAAGUUUUAAGCCUCAGAAAAGUCCCAAAGUAGAAAAAUAUGCAACAAUGCAUCACCAAGGCCCCCUUGCCGCAAAUGCAUCAUCAAAAUUCAUAUGAUAUGAUCAUUUAACUACAGUGUCUUCUCAAGUUCAAUCUCAUGUUGAACCAGAUUGGUUGGUUACUUUUAUGGCUAAAAGAAAGAAGAGUAGAGGGGCUCUUAAUAUCAAUAAUUUUCAUUUCUUCUUCUGCUAAAAGGCAUAUUCCCAAGCCAACAUACUUAGGGAAAAAAAAAAGGAAAAUCACAGGUAUAAGGUGUAAAUGGUGUCAGGGGACGAGUAUCGGUAUCAAGAUUCAGUAACACCAAACAUUAAGCUUGAAACAUAAGUGAUCAAUACCUUCCAAAUGAAGCCAUAAAAAGGGGGAACCAUCCCAAUAAAAGAGGGAUCCAAUCGACUAAACUUAAACAUGUAUGACCAUUGGAAAGUGGGUUUCAUACUUGAAUUGACAAUUACCUCCUGAACAACAUUAGAUCCAGGCUGCCCUCCACACCUAAUCUCACCAUACAUGCGGUGGCUUGGCUUGCAUCUUCAAAUCUUCACUUGAGAAUCGAUUUGAUGAGCCAACAUAUUGAAAAAUUUUAAGGCCCAGGUACCAGCCCUCAACAGUGUCAAACUCAUUACUUCUGGACAAAUUGUCCUUUUUGAAUAGGUAGUAUGUAUAAAUUAAUAACCGCUAAACAAGAAAGACCGCCAAAGGGAAAACAGGACAAACCACCCUCCCUCUCAAGAAGACAUCACUUAAUAUUUAGAAUCAAUCAAAUGUAUCCAACCUUCUUUUAUGUACAUACUAACAAAGCUGAAAGGUUACAAAGGAACCAAUGUUUUAACUUCUGAUGAGUCUAGUCCUCACUUUCAAAAUAUAUUAUAAUAUAUUGAGCAAUUCAACUAUAAUAAGAUAGGAAAAAGAAUCACGUUUCUUCGGGGUUGAAAUGACAAAAAUGAAAUUGGAAAAAGCAAGUCUAAAAUAUUGCUGUGAGAAAUGAGAAGGGAAAAGCAGGACGCACCUUCAUAAAGAUAGCAUCGCCAUCAGGAACAGAUUUGAACAUGUCACCUCCAACGUGGGUCACACCUGCAAAAGUCCAACGACCCUGAUUAACUCUACAUCCAUUUCCCACACUCACACCUUCCUCUUAUCCAUCUCAAAAACACUCUAAUAUUCUCACCGGGAAUGUUUGGGGCCUUGGCUACGACCUCCGGCAAGUCAAAGUUUAUCCCCUCCUUAAUAUUUGUGUGUUUCUGUAAGAUCAUCCUCAGACAAUCCCCUGCACUCCCACCAACGUCCACCAAUCGUUGCACUCCAUCAAACCCAUUGUACCCGUUCAAAAUAGCCUUCAUGAAGGGCACGGAUACCCCCGACAUUGCCCUCUGCAUCAGAUCGUUCAUCUCUGGUUUCUUACCAUAGUAAGAAUAGGCCGGCUCGCCGUUGGCUUUGACGAAGGGCUCGGUGGUGGAGUCCACAACGGCCUCGUGAACCAAUGGCCACGCUGUCAUCAACUCCUCCUGGUAGUGCUGCAGCACAUACGCUCCGUAGGAGAGGCCGUCCGCAUCGGUGACCAGCGUUUUUCCGAUGUCGGUGAGGGAGUAUUUCCGAAGGACUUGGUCGGAGGAGGGGUCGGUUAGGAGGUGCUCGGCGAAAACGCCGUAAGUGGUGAGAAGGCGGAGGAUGCGUUGGAGAUUGUGGGGAUCACCAGAGGGGAGGACACGUGUUAGGAUCUGGGAGGCGGAGAGGGGAGCGUUGGAGCCACCUUGCCAGAUGGCAUCAGGGACGUUGAGGCGUACGAUAGCGUGGAGGCACAUAGGGACACUGAUCAUGUUGGUGAGCUCCAAUAUAGCCAAUCUGGCUUGAUUUCGGCUCUCCAAGGUUUCGUCUUCCAUGACUGCCUCUUUCUCUUUCUGUAGACUGCACUCUCUUCUCUUGGCCUUGGAUGGAUGAAGAAGAGAGUCCCUUCCACUUUCCACCUAUGGAGGGUGUUUUGGUCAAUUUAUCGGACGAUGCUUCCGAUGCAAUCUUUUUGGAUACUAAAAUUAUAGUGGGGUUAUGUUUUGUCGUUUGCCCCUAAUUUUCCAUCUUUCAUUUGUGGGACUUCUGAGUGGUAAAUGGCACCUAGUUGUGGCACCUGUGCAGCCCACAAAAGUUGAAACUUGAAAUUGAAUGGAGGAACUAAUCACAUUUCACACGUUCUAAAUUUUUGCCUUUUUAGAAUGGGUUACUGUGUCAACCUUAUUUGGUUGUAUCUUUAAUUCAUUUUAUAAUCAUAACUUUAUCAUCCGACCAUCAUUAACUUCCUGUAAUAAAUUCAUAUUUUCUCUUGGGUUGGUCUCCUUCACCUCCUUGGCCCACCUAGGCGUGCUCUCUGACGCGACGGCAAGGACGUUUAACAUCUGGCCAUGACGAAGACCCAACAAAAGCUUGAAGACCUCUCAAGUUUCUUCCUAGUUAUGAUAUAUAUGAUUAGUUGCUUCAUUCAAUUUCAACCUCUGCGGCCUGACAGGUAUUUACCAUUUAGAGUGGUGUAAAAUCCAAACACACCCACAAACAUAGAUGAAAGGUGUGAAGAAAGCCAAAAAAAAAGGCAUGGCUAUUUUGUGAUAAAGUAAUUUGUUAUCAAAAUAUUUAAUUUUUUAAUGAUAAUGUUUAGUUAAAAAUAAUAAUAAUAUUUUUAAUUUCAUUUUUGAUGGAAUAUUUUAAGGUAAAUUUCAAUCACCUUCCCUUAUGUUUGAGUUAAAUUUCAAAUUUCCUUAUAUUUUUCAGAUCACAUAAUUACUACAUUUUUCUAAAUAUUUCUCUGAGAAUUUUUUUUUUAAAUUUUUAUAUUUGAAUAUUUUCUUUAAAGAGGAUAAUUUUCCUAUGCAAUUAAGAAUUGGUAAUUUUAUAAAGUUCGUAUUUGGUAUGGGAUCAUGAAUUAACAGGAGUGGAAUUAGAAACAAAGACCAAAAGGAUAAGGAUAUGAUAUGUGCACACGUCUCAUGUUUAUAAGGCCUCAAGAAGACCUAUUUGCAUUGGCACAGGCACCAGGUUCGCUUUUAUAUAUAUAUAUAUAUAUAUAUAUUUAUAGUGAGCCCCUAUUUGUUAACCAUCUCUCAAAACAUCCUUCUUUUUUUUAAAUAUAUAUAUAUAUAUAUAUAUAUAUAUAUAUAUAUAUAUAUAUAUAAAUUAAUUUGAAAAUUCAGAAUAUUCUUUGCUUAUUUGAAAAUAUAAAAGAUAUGCAAGUAGCCUCCAUAAAACAACAUCAACUUUUCCCACAAUCACAUCCUUGACUUUUAUUUUGUUAAGGAAAGGAUAAACAAAGACAAACAUUCACAUCCUUGACUUUUAUUUUGUCAUGAUAAGGAUAAGCAAAGACAAACUUUUUUUAGCAUAUCUAAAGAUCAAUACUAUGUUAGAAUCAUUCCAGAGAUGCGCGGAAAAUUGCCAUGUUAUUCUUCAUAUGGAUGGUUGGUGAUGCAUGAUAUUCAAUCAGAUGAUUGUUUUCUUCUUAAUCCUAGUUCAUCCGGGACUAUCCUGCUCCCUCCAUUAGACUUUUUAAUUAUAUGAUAUGCAUUUUAUCAUUGCCUCCAAAGGAUCCCAAUUGCCAUAUUUUGUUUCUCGUAACUGACUUUUUUGUGUCUUGUUGUCCCAGCGAUAAUGAAUCUAUUAAAAGAAUAUCAAAUUGAAGCUUAUGGAUCAAGAAACAUAUCUAGAAAGUGAGAAUGAAGAAAUUGAAUUCUAUAAUGGUUUUAAAGUAGCGAAAUCCCAUAUUGGGUAAGUUCUGACACAUGUCUGUGAAGAUGCAGACUACCUACACUGGACAACUUGGACAAAACAAUCUUAUGAAGCUUCAUUGUUCCCUAGGAUUGACUUUGGGUCUUUCCUGCAUAGCUUAGGUGGAGGGCAAAGAAGGCCUUCUUUCGUAGGGGCCUGAGCCAUCAGUGAGAUACUACUCUAGAAGAGCUAGAAUUUUAACCUUAUGUUAGGACCUACAGGCCAAGGGACAAUCUCAGGUAGAUAGUUGAGGAUGAAGAAUUUGAAUACAAUAAUGAAGAAAGCUACACCGAAAAUGAGAAUGAAGAACUUUAAUUCGAGGAUGAAGAAUUUCAAUAUGAUGAUGAAGAAAGUUACACAGAAAAUGAGAAUGAAGAACUUGGAUUUGAGGAUGAAGAAUUCUAGUAUGACAAUGAGGAAAUCAAUGAAGAACUUGACUUUGAGUUUCAACAUGAUGAUGAAGAAAUUUACGUAGAAAAUGAGAAUGAAGAACUUGGACUUGAGGAUGAAGAAUUUCAGCAUGGGGAUGGAGACGUUUAUCUAAGAUUUAUGACACAACUCUAAUAGGUUGCAAAUUGGUAGUUGCUGAUUUUGAAGGUUCAUCUAUUCAAUUUUGGCCAUUGAUAAGGGAUGAGCGGAUUCUACCAAGAAGACUAAAAUGUUACCUGAUGGAAUCUCAUGGUGAGCUCUUGCUAGUUCAUAAGAUAUACUCAAACUAUGCCAGAUUUUUGGAAGAGGAUAUUGAUUUUGAAAUUUUUUGAAUUGAUUUCUCCAACAUGGAGUUAGUGGAGGUGAGAAACAUAGGGGAACGAUCAAUAUUUCUUGAGAAGUCCACAGGCAGAUGUUUUGAUGUUGUUGAACCGGAAUUAGAAAAAAUUCUAUCUAUUUUAUAGAAUUUGAAGAUAGAUAUCUCUAUAUGUUCGAUAUUGAAGAUGGUAGCAUUUUAACAUCCUUGCCAUGUCCAAUUGUAAGCACUUGUAAUUCAUCACUUUCUUGAAUUGAAUUAUAAAUCAUUUCUUUUUUCAUAUUAUUAAUCUCUUCCAAAUGUGUGUUCGAUUGGGAAAAUUUGGGAUGUUUGGGCUAAAAUUUGGGAUCAAUAUUUCUAUGGAUGUUCAUGCAUGUUGAGGCCUAAAUUCUGAUGCCAUACUUUCAGUUUCCCCAAGUGUAUAACACCCAACACCUAACAAACAAAUGUUCUUACCACACCAGAAAUCCUCUACCAAUAUGGAAGACAGCAUUGUUUACUGAUUGCUAUUAAUGUUAUACACUCAACAACAGAAGUAUAAACAUUUUUAGUAAUGAAUGAAAAGAAUCAGAACAUUAUCACUUGGAUAUAAAAUUUACGAUUUUACCUAGAAGAUGUUGGAACAAAUGCAGAUGGAAUUUGCCUUUGAGUCAAUUUCAUGUACAAGCCCUGCAACAAAAAGCCACAUUAUUUGGAUAACUAUGUUCAUAUAUCAAGAGUUAAGAAUCAGGUAUGAAUCGAAUUUUAGGGCAUCAUUGUGUGAACAGGUUAUUUGUUCAGCUCAAACAGUGCAUCAUAUAAAGUUCAAGCAUUUUUCAGGCCUGUGUUGGAGUAAUCAAGUUCGAACACAGAGUAUUCUUGGAUCCAAGAUAUAAGAAGACAUUUACAGAUUCACAAGCAACUGUAUGCCUGAUCUUUUUUUUUUCAUUUUUUCUUUUUUAUCUCUAUUAGAUUGGGUAUGUUUGACUUUGACUAAACAGUGUUCCUAUCCAGAUAUUACCAAGCAAGAGUUCCGAAAAAAUCUCUAUAAAUGUUUUUUUUAUCACAUUCAGAUCCUAAUCAGAUAUGUAAAUUUGCCUUCUCUUUUUGUGUCUCUGAUAGGGACUAGGGAAAUGUAUGAUACUGCUACAGUACUAUUAUUUAACUCAGGUUUGGAAUCCUAAUUAGGCUGUGUCAUGAGUACUAGUGCAUUGAGGAACAUAAGUGUAUGUCAAGAAUAUUACAUUUGUUGUAUGAAUAGUUGCCCCGGUAGUCAUGCUAAUAUUCUGAUCAGGAACCAGCUCAAAAUUCAUGUGCUGCACAAAGAUUGCAAGUGCAACAAUCGCUUCCAGCAAAGCAAACUGAUCACCAACACACUUACGUGGGCCCCCACUAAAUGGAAUGAAUCUACAACAUAUUUUCUGGAAUUAGAAUAACAGGAAACAUAAAAGCAAAGCAUUAUUUUUGGGCUGUAUGCCCAAUAAAUAGCUCUGAUUUCCAAGAAUCAAACCUCAAAACCACAGAAAAAUGAGAAGGUGGAUAAGCUUGGCAUCUUGAAAGGACUUGGAAAAAAUAAAUACCUGAAAUCUGUAUUUGUUUCAUUAGGCACAGGACCUUCUAAGUCGAAUCUUUCCGGCAGAAAAUCUUCUGCUCUUUCCCAGACCUUGUGUACAUUUACAGUGAUAAAAGUAGAAGGAAAAAUUAUUUAACUAGAAAACAAAGGAAUGGAAAUUCAGCAUCCUCUAAAAAUAUGCAUCAUGGAUUGAAAGGGAAACUUCUUGUACACCAAGAAUCUAGAGUAGAAAGUUCAAUAUAUGAAUCGGGCUUAAUUCUUCCAUAUUCAGAAUUUGUGAAGAGGGGAACUUUGAAACUUGGUAGCUGAUAAGGAACUAAAUUUAGAGAAUGCUAAUUACUGAGUUACUAAAUAGAAUUCAUCAAAAUUGCAGCAGAAAGCAAAGGUCUUUACUUGUAAGAAGCAGCUUGAAUUAAAGAAAUUACACUUGAUCCAUUAAAACAAACAUUCAAGAGAGAUAGUAUAUAAGGAGACACCUGAGAGGAGUGAUGGAUAUUAUAUACUGAAAUCAUUAUAUCUUGACCAGCAUUGACCUUGUAAUUUCCAGGAAGCACAUCAGCGACUUUAGCUCUUCUUAUCAAAACCUACAACAAAUAAGAAAUGCUGACACCCGCAAGAAAAUAUCUUCACAGAAAAAAAUUGUAUUAUGAUUCAGUCAACUUGAAGGAUGCAGGGUUGCACCUACAGGAGGAUGAGGGUAUAGACGCAUGGACUCAUUUAUGCAACGUGUUAAGAACUUGAGAUCCUUUAUAUCUUCAUACGAGGGAGACCUUCCCUGUAAAACCCUGUCGACCUCUUCUUGUGCUUUCAUCAGAGAAGAAGAGUUCUGCAUGAAAACAUUUGUGAACAAUAGGCAGCUAAUCCAUAGCCCUUUUCAAUUGAACCAAUCUCCAGCUUUACAUUUCAGCAAAAUGUCACUCACUUAGAGUUGUAUACAAAGUAUAUGUAUUAUUAGAUACAUGGUAAAGAUUAUACAAACUUGAGCAAAUGAUUGAAAGGGACAUAAAGUCAUUAAUGCAAUAAGUUGAAAAAAUAAAUGCCUCAAUCAAAGACGUGGCUUUAGAUAGAUUGAAUGCCAGAAAGAAAUCUGUCACCAAACACAAAUAGUUUAUCUAAAUUCCUGAGAGUGAUAAAAACAUAAAUCUUACACAAAAAAAAAUGAUAUUAUUAUACAAACAAUCUUGGUGUUUGGGUUACUGAUUGAGCACCACAAACCAGCUCUUGUAAAAGCCUUUCACUUUAUACACACAACAAACAUUAUCAUUGAAAAUGAAUAGGCCAUAAAUAGAUUAAACAUGACAAGAAAUACCAUAAUUUUUGCAAGUAUAUAUCCAGCAAACAAUUUCAAUGCCCCUAAUUAUGAUUUCUCAUUUUCAAUAGAAACCCCCAGUCACAUAAGUUAUACUCUGAUAAGCCAAUGUUUCUUGCCAUCUGAACCAUUUGAUCUAAUGUCUAUUGUCUGUGUCAUUGUUUCAACCUCUACAUGACUUUUCUUUUUUCUUUUUUUCUUUUUUUUCUUUUUCUGCUUUUUCUUUUUACUUUUUAUAUGAUAAGUUAAAGCCCAUACAAAUUCUAAAAGAAAAAGACCCAGCAACCUUGGGGUGAUUUAAGAAACCCCCUAGCUGAGCAAGAUUGAAUCCAUUAUAUCUUUUCGAAUAUUUUUUUUUCUUGCAUUUACUAAAUCUAUAUUUGAUUCAUGGCUGACCCAAGCUCAAGUAGUUUGCCUUCCUUUGGUUCAAUAUAUGUGAGAAAUUAAUUGUGAUAAAGUUCAUAUGAUAAAUACCUUAUUCCAUAAAUAUAAAUAAGUGAAUAAAUACCCCAUAGGGUGUGGUUAUGUUAUCAACCCUAUUGGUUUUCUGUAUAUGUAUACGUCGUGUAUACCUUUUUAUUAAUACAGUACCUGUUUACUCAUUAUAAAUAAAUAAAUAACUAUUGCCUGUUCCACAUUUCACUGUUUACUUAAGACCAGAAACUUAGAGAAUUUAUCUUUGCAAUUCAACAUACAAAGUGGCAACAUUUUCUUUACUAAUAGAAGGGAAAACGUUGUAAAGAGAAACAUGAUGAUUGUAAUGAUACCUUACUUAAAAGAUAUAAUGUCCAAGUCAACACUGAACCAGUGGUCUCAUGCCCAGCAACCAACAUUGAUAAAAGGUCAUCUCGUAAUUGCACACUUGAAACCUAAGAUAUACAGCACCAUUAUGUUAAAUCUGAAAAUAAAGCAAGCUGGAAACAAUAAAUCUGAUAUUGGAUCAGGUUUGAACAGAAGCAGUAAAUCUCAAGACACCUUGGAAACCAAAGCCCAAUAUUGACUACAUCAUAGUUCUUCACUUGACAGUAUAGUCCCUAUUGUGUGCGUGUAUGUCUUUUAUUUUCCUUAUCUCCCAUUUUCCCACAUUUUAAUUUACUUUAUUGCUUUUUCUGCUUAUUACUUGUUAUACACAUGCUUUAAAUCUACAUAUCUGUUUUAUCUGGGAAUCUACAUAUGCCCUUGACACUUCUAGAGCAGGUUGAAGUAGCCUAGCUCCCAGACGAUAUAGAAUUGCUUUUGUCCACUUACUCCAAUGCAAAUUUGCAAUCUCAACACUAAAGUCAAAAACAAUCACAACAAGAGAAAAAUGCUAGAGUUCAAAGAAUUGUACAAUAGAA
rnacentral:lncRNA from 1 species